rnacentral:rRNA from 1 species
GAUGAACGCUGGCGGCGUGCCUAAUACAUGCAAGUCGAGCGAAUGGAUUAAGAGAUUGCUCUUAUGAAGUUAGCGGCGGACGGGUGAGUAACACGUGGGUAACCUGCCCAUAAGACUGGGAUAACUCCGGGAAACCGGGGCUAAUACCGGAUAACAUUUUGAACCGCAUGGUUCGAAAUUGAAAGGCGGCUUCGGCUGUCACUUAUGGAUGGACUCGCGUCGCAUUAGCUAGUUGGUGAGGUAACGGCUCACCAAGGCAACGAUGCGUAGCCGACCUGAGAGGGUGAUCGGCCACACUGGGACUGAGACACGGCCCAGACUCCUACGGGAGGCAGCAGUAGGGAAUCUUCCGCAAUGGACGAAAGUCUGACGGAGCAACGCCGCGUGAGUGAUGAAGGCUUUCGGGUCGUAAAACUCUGUUGUUAGGGAAGAACAAGUGCUAGUUGAAUAAGCUGGCACCUUGACGGUACCUAACCAGAAAGCCACGGCUAACUACGUGCCAGCCGCCGCUGAA